GGCACAAAUUUGAAGUAGAGUAGAUUAUUAGUAUCAACUGACCCUACCAAUCCACUCUACUUUGAGUUUGUGCCC
rfam:Haemonchus contortus, ISE/inbred ISE, WGS project CAVP01000000 data, contig: Hcontortus_46185